GAUGAAGAACGCAGCGAAAUGCGAUAAGUAAUGCGAAUUGCAGAAUUCCAGUGAGUCAUCGAAUCUUUGAACGCACAUUGCGCCCUUUGGUAUUCCGAAGGGCAUGCCUGUUCGAGCGUCAUUAUCACCCCUCAAGCCCUCGGCUUGGUGUUGGACGGUUUGGUGGAGGCCCCCUCGGGGGCUCCUGCCCCUCCCAAAGACAAUGACGGCGGCCUCGUUGGACCCCCGGUACACUGAGUUCUUCACGGGACACGUAUCGGACACAUGGGUUUACGGGACACGGUCUGCCUCCCCUCAGGGAGAAUCUUUCUAAGGUUGACCUCGGAUCAGGUAGGGAUACCCGCUGAACUUAAGCAUAUCAAUAAGCCGGAGGA
rnacentral:misc_RNA from 1 species